rnacentral:rRNA from 1 species
AGCGGCGGAUGGGUGAGUAACACGUGGGGAACCUGCCCCUAAGUCUGGGAUACCAUUUGGAAACAGGUGCUAAUACCGGAUAAUAAAGCAGAUCGCAUGAUCAGCCUUUGAAAGGCGGCGUAAGCUGUCGCUAAGGGAUGGCCCCGCGGUGCAUUAGCUAGUUGGUAAGGUAACGGCUUACCAAGGCGACGAUGCAUAGCCGAGUUGAGAGACUGAUCGGCCACAUUGGGACUGAGACAUGGCCCAAACUCCUACGGGAGGCAGCAGUAGGGAAUCUUCCACAAUGGACGCAAGUCUGAUGGAGCAACGCCGCGUGAGUGAAGAAGGCUUUCGGAUCGUAAAGCUCUGUUGUUGGUGAAGAAGGAUAGAGGUAGUAACUGGCCUUUAUUUGACGGUAAUCAACCAGAAAGUCACGGGUAACUACGUGCCAGCAGCCGCGGUAAUACGUAGGUGGCAAGCGUUGUCCGGAUUUAUUGGGCGUAAAGCGAGCGCAGGCGGAAAAAUAAGUCUAAUGUGAAAGCCCUCGGCUUAACCGAGGAACUGCAUCGGAAACUGUUUUUCUUGAGUGCAGAAGAGGAGAGUGGAACUCCAUGUGUAGCGGUGGAAUGCGUAGAUAUAUGGAAGAACACCAGUGGCGAAGGCGGCUCUCUGGUCUGCAACUGACGCUGAGGCUCGAAAGCAUGGGUAGCGAACAGGAUUAGAUACCCUGGUAGUCCAUGCCGUAAACGAUGAGUGCUAAGUGU